CAAAUGAGCCACAAACCUGUGGUGGGCCGAGCAACAGAGACCAACAGCUCUUAGAAUGAAUGGUGCUCACGUGUCCCCAAUGUCUGAGCAACGCGAAGAUUUCCUGGGGUGAAUCCAAUGUCUCUCUCCCAUAUGUCCAGUAAGUAUAUCACGGACAGGAAAUCCUCCGUCAAACAGAGUGGAGGAUACACUUUCAGCGCUAGGUUUCUCAGUAGUUAUUGCUAAGGAUGCUGGUGGCACAGCGGACAUAGUGCUCCUCCCGUUUACGGAGAGAGAGAAUGGAUGGGAGCUAAGAAACGUGCGUAGAAACUUCUUAGGACGGCACUGUGUGGGUGGAAAGGCGAGAAAGGGGACCAGGGAUAAAUGUUCUCCUGGUGCCCUGACGGUUGAGGGAUCAGCUGCGUAAGCAUUUGGCACUGCCAUUUUACUGCAGGCCUGCUCUGCCGCACUGGCAGAAGGACUGGCUACUUCAAAGCCCAGGAGCCCUACAGAACAGCGGCUGAAUCUGGCCGGAACUCAGACAUAGUCCACAGCCUACAGAGCAGCCAAUUUUCCCUUGUUUUGUUCAAGGUCAAUAUUGCACUCUAAAAACCCUCCCCUAUAAGAGUCAAGAUGACAAUCGCCUGUGACAAGACCCUCGGCUGCUUCAGCCACUGCUUCAUUUCCGUCCCAGGUAACGUAUUCCCGCAGACCGAGGAGGCCUUACCCACCCAGUGUCAGCCUCCUUGACGCUCACCGUCUUUGUGACGUGAAUGGGACCAAAAUACCAACUUCUGAUAGCAAACCACACCUUCCACUUAUCGUCAUGUUUAGAGUUUGAAGGAUGCGUGUCCCUUCAGUCCACGUCACUCUGAUACGAGCUGGUGCUAUCAUAACGCCUGCUCAGAAGGAUCAAGGUCCAAAACCCGACCAUGAAAAUUGGUGGAUACUCUGGAAUGGCGUCCUGGUGUCUGACAUUUACCAAGCACAGAAAAUGCAAGAUCAGUAUAGAUUGAAAACCAUGGAGACACCAAUGAGAGCUUGUUCUAGCCCCAGUUGGACUGCCUAUGUUGUAUGUGCCCCUCAUUUAUAUGUUAUAUUUACAUAUCGUAAGUUUACUGUGAACUUCUCAAAUCAGUCACAAGAAGCUCUAAAUGUUUUAUGCAAAUUAAGAUUCACAAAUCAGGGCUGGAGAGAUGGCUCAGCGGUUAAGAGCCCUGGCUGCUCUUCCAGAGGUCCUGAGUUCAAUUCCCAGCAACCACAGGGUGGCUCGCAACCAUUGGUAAUGGGAUCUGAUGCCCUCUUCUGGUGUGUCUGAAGACAGCUACAGCUUAC
rnacentral:lncRNA from 1 species